rnacentral:lncRNA from 1 species
ACUUAUAUAUAAUUUAUGUUCAAAUACUAUUUGAAUCGCUUUUAAUCAGAUUAGCUAACCCAAUCUAACCCAUUACAACACCACCUUCGACAAUAUCUUAAUACACCGACAAUAUGCAGCACAGUUAGGUAAGAACUUAAUGGAUGAUACUAAAGAUCCCAAGUUUGAGCGUAGUUGCUUCACAUUUCUGACUGAGUUCGCUUGUAAUAAAUGACAAUAUCUUAUUACAUAAUUACGAUUAUGCAACAUUCCAAACUUUUCAUGUAAAAUUAACUUUAUAUAU